AGGACCAGUGAUGAUAGGUAGUGGCGGAUAAGUCAUAGAUGAUGAUUAAUGUCUGGAUAUCUGAGGUCCAU